rnacentral:rRNA from 1 species
UACAGAGGUCUCAAGCGUUGUUCGGAUUCAUUGGGCGUAAAGGGUGUGUAGGUGGCGCGCUAAGUCGGGUGUGAAAUUUCGGAGCUUAACUCCGAAACUGCAUUCGAUACUGGCGUGCUUGAGGACUGGAGAGGAGACUGGAAUUCAUGGUGUAGCAGUGAAAUGCGUAGAGAUCAUGAGGAAGACCAGUGGCGAAGGCGGCUCACUGGACCGGAACUGACGCUGAGGCGCGAAAGCGUGGGGAGCAAACAGG